UUGGCGUGUUCAGUUUUGAGCAAAUUUUCAUCCAAAACACGCCAUCAGUUGCUUGAUAUAAACAAUUAGCUAUUUGCGGUGCGCAUUUAAAUCGAGAUGUUAUAUGCAAUUAAUUGAUAAAUUUCCAGCAAGCUUGAAAAAUGCUUCGUUAAGAAGAAAAUAGCUUAUGUCAAGUGAACAGCCUUUUUCAUACCCAUUACUAGUUACCAUAAAUAUUCACCGAUAUUCUGACACGAUUGAAUUGAAAACCAGCUACUGGUACAUUUAGAAAAAAUUGUGAAGUUUAGACACUUUAUUUAUGGCACUCGGCCAGUCUUCUAGAGAGGCAUGAAAGCAAAUCUUUAAGACAGUAUCUCUUCGCACAUUACAAUUAUUGCUGCAGUUCUGAAAUACAAAGUAGCAUACAAGAAAUAUUUUGUUUGCACGAGGAAAAGUACCAGUUAAAUUGCAGAAGAAAAGGAAAUACCACUAGCUGUAGCCCUAGUGAAUAAUUUGGUUAGUGCGAGACGUUUCUUACUCAUCAUACUAUACGACCGUAUGACUGUCGUUUAAUUAUAAUCAAAUGGGAAAUGCAAUGCAUGUAAAAUCAUUAAUAAAAUGCAUAUUUUUUAA